AACUCGUUAAGCUAUGUCAGUGACUUUGGUUCUUCUGCGAAUCUCCUCAUUUCUGAUUCGAUCACGCACUCCUAACAUGUGUGACUCUAAGCCUUCUUAUGAUUCCCAUAGCUAGUGACAACGUCUCGGAACCAUAGGUCAUCACUGGCAACAAGCACUGUUCGAAGAUAGUGACUAAAAAUAAUAUAAAAUGAAUGAUAACAGAAGAAAGCGGAGCCAAUUCCCGUCCCGCGUUAGAACAAAAAUAGAUGGUGUCACUAGUAAUGAAGUCACGUGCGCACUACAGAUGAGAGCUUUCCAUACGACGUGCGGACGGCGCGCACGUUGCUCUAGGAGCUGUAGUGCGCGGGGAUAGUUUAUUACGAAGGGCGAUGGAAGUCCACUGCUGGACAGGGGCCUCUUGCAUCGACUUCUAAACACCAUGGUCUUCUGCCGCUAGUAGGUAUCCAGCGACUCCAUGCAAGCUGCUUGAUCAACAUUGGAAUUUCCGAAACGGGGUCGCUAUCUUCUUGGGAUCUUGGGUGUCCGACGAUUGUAAUUCGUACUAAGUGCUACUUCUGCUUUACGACUCGCUCAGCUAUAUCAGUAAUUUUCUGAGGAUCUCCUCAUUUCUGAUUCGAUCACACAGAGAAACUCCAAGCUCGCUCCAUCGCUCGCUGAGUUUUCUUAUGACGUCUAUAGUUAGCGAGCAGGUCAUCCACCUCAUCAAUCGCAGCUAAAAUCAGCAGACUGGUACUGGUUAUAAUUAUAGAUUGAUACAUUAAUAGAUUCUUUAGCAGUGCCACUCAAAACGUACCUAUCAAAUUGCUUUCAAUCACGCAUAUUCACGGACCAUUAACAAGUUUAAGUGAGUGUUGCUUCACUUAUUUUGGUAUUUUCCUGUACAAAUAUAGUAAAAUGGAAAUGUUUUUUGUUUGUUUAAUCGCGCUGAACUCGGGAACUAUCAGAUGCGUUGAAAAAAAAUGUUUUUUGCGAUAGGACUGGUUAAAGAGGUCUAAGGGCCGUUUGCUAGUCAUAAUUAUCAAUCCAUAUUCGGCUCACUACUGAGCUCAAGUCUCCUCUCAGAAUGAGAGGGCACCAUGCUGGCCCAAUGCGAAUUGGCAGACUUCACUUCACUUACUCACGAUGUUUUUCCUUCACCGUUUGAGACACAUGAUAUUUAAAUUCUUAAAUGCACACAACUGAAAACUUGGAGGUGCAUGCCCCGGACCGGAUUUGGUCACCCUCUGGAAUCGGAGGCAGUGGUCAUAUCCACUGGGCUAUCACGGCUCAUUUGAUCAUAUCACGGCGUUUGCUAGUAUAAGAUAUAAUUAUGUAUUUUUGCAAGUUGUGUCUAUAAAAAUAUUCUACGGUGGACGAAACCGAAGGGCUUUGUUAGUAUGCCUAUACGAGUGUAUCACCAGGCAUUUUGAUGUGCAUGUUUGACUUAAAGACAUACUUAAUUAUACUCAGGUAUUUGCUAUAGUUAGGAUGUUAUGUAACUAUUGUAUGCGCUUGACUUCCUUUAUUAGCUAAUUUAAUUUGUAAUUAACACACCGUAUAAACCAUUGUUUGGAUUAUUAAUUACUAGGGUACCCAAAUAAAACAACAAUAAUAAAUAAUAUCAACGUUCAAUAAAUAAAUAUUUAUUAGGUUAAUUAAAGUUAAUUUUAAAUUUUUUAUCCUUUUAAUUGUUUGUAUUAUAUAAUUUUGUAUGUGUGAUUUGGGAAUAAACGGCUUAUUAUUCUUUAAAAAUAUUUUAUGUUUUUAAUAUGGAUGUGAUUUACAAAUUAAAUCUUUAUUCUUUAUAAUAUAAGUGUAGAUAAGUGAAAAGCAAUUUUAACGGUUCCUUCGGACCUAUGGGAUAUGUAGUGGACAUCCCUUGGUUUUUUGUUCAAAUUAAAAGUUUUCUAAUAUUCAAAUUUCAAAAUUUAUUUAUUUCAAUUAGGUUUAGUUUACAAGCACUUUCGAAACAUCAUCUAUACUAUUAUACAAAGCUGAAGAGUUUGUUUGUUUGUUUGUAUAAUUGAACGCGCUAAUCUCAGGAACUACUGGUCCGAUUUGAAAAGUUCGUUUAGUGUUAGAUAGCCGGAUAGAUCGAGGAAGGCCAUAGGCUAUACAUAUAAUAUUAUUCCCAUAUUAAUUGAUUAUGAAACACGGCUAAAACUCACGUGAUAAUAGGUCAGUUUGGGUCGUGCCGCGAUGCAAGAACCAGCUCAUGAUUAAGGGCCUCGUAUGGGUUCGAAACUAGUCGGGAAUACUCCGACCUAAUAUCACGUGAGUUUUAGCCGUGUUUCAUAAUCAAUUAAUAUGAAUAACACUCACGAUAGUUUAAAUUCUAAAAUAUUAUUCCCGUACUCUUACGGGAACGAGAACCACGCGAGUGACUUCGCGUGGCGUCAGCUAGUGUAGUAAUUUUAUUAGAUAAUGGUGAUAAUAAUUGACCGAAAACUAUCCAACCAAUACCGUUUGAAAUAAGCGUGGUUAGAAUUCCCCGGAUUUCCUAACUACGCCAGAGAGGCUGUUUUGUACAGAAAUAAAAAAGAGAAGCCUAUUGCGAUGUUUCGUUUGCGAGAUUGUACAACAUGGUAAAUAUCGCCGGCCAUUUUUGGCGUCCCGGCCGUUAUCUGCGACUUAUAUAGAUGACAUCUUUUUUUUCAUCUAAAUGUUUCUUUUAUGUGUACAGGCUGUAACGUAAUCCAUGUUACGAUAUCUCCGCGUUUUUUGAAGAGAAACCUCUUAGACGAUUC